UUGAAGAAUUAUUUCCUAUGUUGUGAUUGAGAGGUUAUGUUGGCGGAGGGGGGCGAUGACAACUUCCUCAUUGGCUCAAGGGGGCGAUUCCUUCAAAAAGGUUAAGAACCACUGUUCUAAGUAAUCAUAAUUACAUAAUUACAUGAGAAACUGGAAACUAACCGUGUAAAUAGUGCCUGCAUUUAAACAGAAAUGGAAUUGCAAGAUCACAUAUGCUCUGAUUUAAAAUUAACUUCUAUCUUACACUAAAGUGAAGAGGCAAAUUUAAUAGUCCUGUAAUCAGGUUAGUUUUUGUGGGUUAGAAUUGGAAAAAUUGCACAACUUAACAUUUACUCACUUUUUCUCUAAUUAAAAGUGGGUGAGUUUUCAAAGGUUGGGGUAGUUAAGAUUAUGUAUAGGACUUUGGCUUAAUACAUGUCUAUACCUUUUCAUCAAGGAUACUGAAGAUGACCCUGAACGUUCUCAUCAAAUGAUCAUGCUGCGAAAACUCUGCUUGCCAAUGAUGUGCUUCCUCCUUCAUACAGUCUUGUACAGCACUGGCCAGUAUCAGGAAGAUUUAAGACUUGCCGACUUGAUUGCCUCAGAUAGGCACAAACUCUAUAUGGUAUUUUCCAAGGAGGAACUCCAGAAACUCUUACAGAAGUUGAGAGAAUCUUCCCUCAUGCUUCUGGAUCAAGGUCUUGAUCCUCUUGGAUAUGAAAUUCAAUUUUAAUUGCAUUGUUCUAAGUAAUAUAAAUAAAAUUAAUAAUACAAAUGAAUAUAAGAUUUCAAUCACAGAUUCUUGACCUCCAUGAAAUAAAGAACAUUUGGAUUCAACCUCCAUUAUGUGGAAAUAUUUGAAUAUUACAUUGGCAUUGGCACACAGCAGUUUGGAUUUUUUUAUAUGUAAAAUAAAGAAUUGCAUGGAUAACACUUUGUAUUUUUCUCAAUAAAAUUAUAAUAAUUUUGUAA